AAAAAGAUAAGCUAAAUAAGCUAUUGGGUUCAUACCCCGUCUAUGAAAGUUUUUAACCUUUCUCUUUUUA
rnacentral:tRNA from 1 species